rnacentral:lncRNA from 1 species
CGCUUCAAAUAUCCUGUAAAGAUUAAUUCUUUCACAGGGCCCAAAACAGCAACAGCAUGAAAAACAACUGAUUUUUUUAUCAAGUGGAAUUUGCAUACUAAGCAAAAAUAUAUUUGAAAGCUGGUAGUUUCAUUCCGUGCAUUAGUUUCUCAUUUGUACACUCGGAGAAAAGCAAAACAAGCCUGGGCUGUUUUUGUUUUGUGGCAGACAAAUUAUCCUAGGCUGAGAUUUCUGCAAGGCGUAGAUCAGACUGGCACCGUGAAAUGGAAACCCAUAAUAUACCACAACAGAUUUAUAGGGAUGCUCCUUAAUUUGUUUAAUCUUAAGCACUUCAACCACAGAGAAACCCUCCGUGAGUGCACGUUGGAUUGUCUCCAUUUAUGACAGGAGCUCCCCAGAGGAAGGAGCUCUGAACCAGAAGUGCAACAGAACACACUUAACAAUGUUGAUGUAAAAUGAAAAUCUUUAUUGCCACCUGAACACAGAUGACAAAGUAUAAUGGAUACUGGAAUAUAUAUGAGGUAAUAUUUUAGUUACUAUUCAAACAGUUAGACAUUUUCCUUAUUAGGGCUCAUGAUGAUGAAAAGGUGAUAAAAAAGGUUAAUUGUUUAAUUCCUUUAACUUCUGGGUCCAUUUAAAUGUCUAUUGUAGAAAUAAAAAUACCAACACUGAGAGUUACUUAGAAAUAUAUAUGUAUUCAAAUAAACUGGGGAUUGGUGAGCCAGACCAG